rnacentral:lncRNA from 10 species
UGUGUGUGUCUUUAAUUCCUCUAGCGCCGCUGGGUUAGGGUCUCCCCGAUCGAGUUGGUCUCAGCAUCUCUGUACUGGAGGCAAUAUUGUGCUCGUAACAGUUCUGUCUGGUUGAUGAUUCAGCACAGUCCCAAUCAAAAUUCUAACAGAUUUUUCUAUGGGAAUUGACAACCUAAUUCUAACAUUUAUAUGAGACUCUAAAUGACCAAGAAGAGUCAAAACAUUUUCUUGUAGAAGGCAAGGUGUGAGGAUUUGCUUUUUCAAUGUUAAGACACAUGAUCAAGCUACACAAUUAAGGCAAAGUGGAAUCAGAACAUGGCAGACAACAGACCAAUGGAAAAAAGAGCAAUCCAGAAACAGACCUCUCCACACACAUGGACACAAUAUCAGACUGGGGGAGCAUUGAAAUCCACAUGAAAAGAAGAACUCAUUCAACUAGGGGUGCUGGGCAGCUGGCUACCAUGUAAGGAGAAACAUCAAACUGGGCUCCUAUUUAACUCCCACACAAAAGUCAGUUCUACAUAGAUUACAGCCAUAAAGAAAAGGCCACAAAGAUCUUAAAAGAUGGUGUAGAAGAAUAUCAUCUUUAUGAUUUAAGUAAGAUAAAAUGAGUACAUACAAUAAGGAAAGAUUGACACACUAUUAGUGAGACACCGUAAGAAUGAAAGACAUGCUACAAUUUCUGCAACUUAUCUUAAUGCAAGUGAGCCCCAAAACUGGGGCUCAGCCUGAGAGCGUUCUUGGCUUUGCACAGGAAAUAAUUUGAGAGUGACCCAACAGAAAAGAGUGAAAGCAAAGCAAGUUUAUUAGAGCAACAGAGUACAGAAAAGUGGGUUUCAUAGAGCAUCCAUACAGGUGGAUGGGGUUUACAGGGCUACCCCAUAGGCAGAGCAGCACUCCUGGACUACCAGCUAUCUAUAUGUAUAGCUACUUCUUAUUAUAUGCUAAAUAAGGGGCAGGUUAUUCAUGAAUUUUCUAGCAAAGGGAUCCGGAGUUCCUGGAACUGAGGGUUCCUCCCCCUUUUAAAUCACAUAAGAUAACUUUUGGGUAUUGCCGUGGCAUGUGUAAACUGUCAUGGUGCUGGUGGGAAUGUCUUUUAGCAUGCAUUAUCACUAGCAUAUAAUGAGCAGUGAGGGACAAAAGUGAGGUCACUUUUGUUGCCAUCUUGGUUCCAGCUGGUUUCAGCUGAUUUCUUCACUGCAUCCUGUUCCGACCAGAUUCUGUUUUGAUCAGCGGGAUCAUGACCAAGGUCUUGACCAGUGCUUGGAAAACAAGUUCUGCUGAUCUCCUAUCUCAACAUUACAUUAUUAGGAAACCCUAUUUAAAAAAAUGAGCAAAGGACUUUAGAAGCCACUUCACAAAACAGAAUAUCCAAUGGAAAAGUUGUUCAUCGUCAGUAGAAAUCAGGGAAAUAAGAACCACCAUGACACACCACUACUAACCUCCUCAGCUGUAACGUGCCCACAAUCCCACUCCUCGAUAUAUUUAUCCCGGAGAAACUUGUAUCUCGAAGCAACCCAAUGUCCAUCAAUAAUUGGAUAAAUUAUGCUUGUUCAUUCAUGGAAUAUUCAACAGCAGUGAAAUGAACAAGCUAUAGGUACAAAUAUCACCACGGUCAAAUCUCAUAAACAUAUUGAGCAAAAGCCACAAGAUAUAUAUAUAUAAUGCAGUUCCAUUUAUAUAAAGUUUGAAAACAAGGACCCCCAAACUGUACUGUUCAGAGGACCACGUGUAGGUGGGAAAAUUGUGAUGAAAGCCAAGAAAUGAUUUCUAUCACUGUCAGGACAGCGGUCCCACUGGCCAGGGGCAUUUGGGAGGUGGCAGGGUGCUGCAGUAUUUUUCUCUCUGUUCUUACAAGUGCCUAUAUAUAUUUAUUAAACCUUAUGCAUUUAUGCAUUUUUCCAUAUCUCAUACUCCCUGAUACAAAAGUUAACAUGCACAGUAGAAGGGAGUGAAGAGGAAGUGAAGAGCACCACCACCAGGCCGACCGUUGGGUACCGUGCCAUGCAGAAGCACUGCCCAACUGCCCCAUCCCACUAAGACCUUGCCAGACACUGGCCCAUACGGAGGGCUGUUCCCACUUUGUUGGCCUCUUCCCCAGCCCACCCCCAGCCUCCCUGAGCUUCCCACCACAGUGUUUCUGCUGGGAGUGGGGGCCGUUCUUCCUCACCUCCUUGUUUCCCCAUGAGGUGCUUAUGUCCCUAAACAAGCACCUCCUUAGCGCCCCCCGUCUAGCUCAGUCUUUCUGGGCCCUGCUUUGCUGUGUGCUCCCUGCCUUCUGGCAUGUGCUAUGACCCUCACAACUGUGGUGGAGGCCCCAGGAUUGGAAUGGGAAGAAAGGCGUGUUCUAUUUAAGCCCCCUUAAAGUCUUAGGGUUGGCUUUUAACUAGUGGCCCAGGCCGGAGGUUCCAUCUUGCUGGUAUAAAGUAAGGUCCAUGUGGGGAUAUGACCUUUGGCAACUCAGGGCAGUGCUUUGGGGAUGGUCACAGCUCAGAGCCGUGUUCUCUGACUCCUGCACGGGCCUCCUAUUAAUCCAAAGAGAGACAGUGCAGAGGAGGCUACAGAAGGGUCCCAACCUCUGAGGCAUGAAUGGAGGAGGGCAGGCCCAGGCUUGCUGCCUUUACUGUGUUCUCAGCCAGGUCUGAGAUCACCACUUCCAACUGCGAAGGCAGCAAGGGGCCGGUGCAACCUGGUAUGAGUCUUGUACCACCCACAGUGGAGUUGUGCCAGAUGAGCUGUCCUCAAAGCCUCCUGCCAGAACAGGGACUGGGGAGGGUCCCUCCUGAGCCCACGAAACACAUCCCUAGGUCUGCUGAGUUAGUCCCCUUGUGCGGCUCAGCUUGGCUCUCGAUUUGUGCCUUACAUACAUUUUGUUUUAAUUUGUUGUUUCUUUUUAGAGACAGGGUCUCUCCCUGUUGCCCAUGCUGCAAUGCAGUGGUGCAAUCAAGCUCACAGUAACCUUGAACUCCUGGGAUUAAGCCAUCUUCCCGCCACAGCUUCUUGAGUGGCUGAGACUACAGUUUUGUGCCACCAUGCCCAGCUAAUUAUAUUUUUAUUUUUGUAGAGACAGGAUUUCACUAGGUUCCCCAGGCUGGCCCUAAGUGAUCUUCCCGCCUUGGCAUCCCAGAAUAUUACAGGGAUCACAGGUAUGAGCCACCGUGCCUGGCUAUUACGUACAUUUUGACCCAGGAAUUGGGAGACUAAAGUCGUGGCUUUGCCCACAGAAAGGUAAGAGUUUGUUAAUGGACAACAGCAUUAAAAGGAAUCAGGGCCCUUCAGAGAAUAUGCUAUUUUCUUGGGUUGAGAUAGAGAAACAAUGAAAUCAAUACGCAUCCAAAGCUAGCAAGGGCCAUACAAAUGGCUUGUGCUGAGAACCGUCUGUCCCAGGGAAUUGGGUUUACUUGGGAGAUCCAGAAGGAACUGGAAUGGUUUGAAAAACACACCACAGUCUUACCCUUAGAAUGGGAGCAGUGGUGUCAGGAGGCAGGCUGUGCAGAGAUGAGGGAUCAUGGGACCCUGGAGUGGGCCAGACCAACUUAGGGGACAGGAAAGCUCCCUGAUGUGAGGGGAGGGCAGACGUUGGGAACAGACAAGGUCACCACCAGGGAACCAGGUGACCCAGAACACUCUUGAGGGGGGGCCAUUCAAUGCUGCAGACAGCAACUCCGUAAGAAUCAGAAGCCAUUCCAUGAGCCAGGGCAGCCCUCAGAGGCUGUAGGGAAUUUGGGCAAAUUAAAGGACAGAAGAUCAGCAUCAAACAUUGAAAAUAUUUUAGGUAUACCUGGGGACAGCAUAGUUACUGUGGGUGGGUGUCUGGGGUUGCUCAGGACCUAAGGGAAUGCAUUUUUUAAAUGUAGGGAUUAGGUGUCAAGGAGGGCUCAGUGGAGUCCUCCCUGAGGAGAGCACAGCCAGUCAGGAGAGAGGGGCUGACGGCAGGGAGGCUGAUGGCCAUGGCCGCCAUCUCUUGGGCGCAGCUGUGGGACUGUUUCAACAGCAAUUCUUGUGGCAAACCUGGGAUUGCCUGGUUUUGUUUUCUGUUGCCAGGGGAGACCCCCAAGUGACAAAAUCUAGAGGAACAGAUCAGAAAAAGUAAAUAUAUGGGCCGGAAAGCAAAGAGAAAGUAAAAGGAGGGAAGGCACUGGGGUUGAACACAAAUGACCAGCCCUGUGUGUGAAGACUGCCAGCAGCCAGCACAACUGCCAGGGCCCCAGCUGAGCCAUGCUGGGGAUGCAAGCCAGCAGUCGCAUGAGGAAGCACAGCUGUGGACAUCUGUCCCCAACUGCUGACAACUGUGCUGCAGAAACAGUGCUGCUCAAGACUGGGAACAUCCCCAGUGGAGGACAGCUAGUGUCCUGAGAGCCAGUGGGACACAGCCACUGCUCCCUGGUGCUCAGCUCAGCAACCUGCUGGGCUGUGCUGCACUGACUGGGGCAGGAUCUCUUAGGACUGAAGACAUCCAUGCAAUGGGCAUACAGAGGGAAAUGGAAAUGAUGAGAUUUCACACAUAUGAAAAGGAGAAGGUAUUAUAAAUAAGACCCAGGCAGGUGAUGACUGCUUGUACAGAUACGCUCAGGGAGGAGGACAGCAGAAAUUGCUUCCUGCUCCACCCCAGCGGGGUCGCCAGGGCUAAUGCUAACCCUCCACCUGGUUAGAUAUGCUGUGGGGUCUAGGGUUUGUCUUCCCUGUCUACUCUCUUUCCAUCAGCUGCCAGGGCAUUCCUGCUGGAGUACUGAGGUAGCAGGAAGAGAGGGCUACAUGGGGCUGGGUCCGGGAUCCUGGAGACAUCUCAUGGCCUGCAUGCUGCUCUAAGGACUUCCCUGUGGUUGGCGAGCAGGAGGCUGAGGCUAUCACCAUCUGCUCAUUCCUAGUAACUCUGGGUCUUUUAAAACUGGAGCACAUGGCAGGCUAGUGAAAAUGCUGAGAUGUGGAGAGAAGGAUCUCACUUUCCAGGACACCCAGCCCUCCCGUGCCUACUGGGCCACUUUGCUCACUGGGUGAGCACAGAGCCUCGGGGAGGAGGUUAACACCACUGGGCUCUGACGGAUCCCUGGGCUCUCUUUGAUUGCUUUGGGCUUGAAUCCUUUGACCUUAAGACUUUUUUUUCCCUUUGGACUUUAACCUAAAAGGACAAGGGAACUUAAUUUUUUGACUUGAAUUUGACCCUAGGAAAUUUAUGAAAGACAUUUCUAGGUUGACUUUUUAUCUGGGUAUCUGGCAUCUUAUAUAUCUGCAGAACCUCUGACUCAAAUUUGAACUUUGAGGUUGGACCUAAUUUAGGAUGGGAAAGUAGGAAGAGUAGUAAAAGAAUGUGUCGUCUGGAGUCCAGGCUACCCUUGGAAUUAAAUAGCAUUGAAUGAUGACCCAUUCCAAGUCCUGGGUGGGGGGAAUCUAUGCUGCCCCGAGGUCUCCAAGGGGGAGUGGAUAACACAGGGGCAACUGGGCUUAGCAAGUAGCAGCAAUAUCGCUGACCCCUGAGUUCAGGAGCAGGGGGCAGUUUCAACUCGGCUCCUUGGGUCUUCCCUUGGGAUUUGGCCACUUUGCCAUGUGGGUGUCCAGCAGUGCCCUCUAAUCUGGGGUGAAGCAGAGCAGCCUGCCCAACUUGUGAAGGUCUCUCUCCACCACCCCAGACCCCUAGGAACUCCCAACUGACUGCUGAUAUCAGACCUCCUGCCUCUGUCUGGGCCCUAAGGAAGUGGUGUCCUAUGUGGUCCCCACCCUACUCUGGGACUCCUCCCUCCUUUUUAUCCCCAAUGCUACAGUCAGCCUUGGUAUCACUCCCGAUUUCCACAGGCCUGUCCCAGAACCCCUUACACCUGUUUUCUCUUCUGGAAGUGAACCCUGAGCUAACAUUUUAGGUAAUUUUUUUUAAGGACCCACUCUGUCCAUAUUGCAAGAGGCAGAAUAUGUUCUGAUAGCGGAGGCCAUGGGGAGCGGGAGAGGGAAGAGGAGAGCUUACAACAGAUAUCACCCACUGUCCAUGCUGUGAGCCUGCGGUCCCCUGCUGCUGGGGCCUCUGCAGGGAGUUGGUGAGCCUGAUCCCUGGACCUAGAGACUGAAGUGAGGCUUUGCAGUCCCUCGCUGAGUGAGACCCCUUGCUGAUCCCUGCCUGGUGGGCUCCCAAGGCCCCCCUGUUGCAGCCCCUGCUGAGCAUCCUCCUGCAUGCACUUUCCAACCUUGGGG